rnacentral:pre_miRNA from 11 species
GCCGCCGCACGCCCAUUGUACUUCAUCAGGUGCUCUGGUGAUAAUCAUUCCAGGCGCUUGUUGGAGUACACUUACCGUGUCGGCGGC